GGGUUGUGAGGUUAAGCGACUAAGCGUACACGGUGGAUGCCCUGGCAGUCAGAGGCGAUGAAGGGCGUGCUAAUCUGCGAUAAGCGCCGGUAAGGUGAUAUGAACCGUUAUAACCGGCGAUACCCGAAUGGGGAAACCCAGUGUGAUUCGUCACACUAUCAUUAACUGAAUCCAUAGGUUAAUGAGGCGAACCGGGGGAACUGAAACAUCUAAGUACCCCGAGGAAAAGAAAUCAACCGAGAUUCCCCCAGUAGCGGCGAGCGAACGGGGAGGAGCCCAGAGCCUGAAUCAGCAUGUGUGUUAGUGGAAGCGUCUGGAAAGGCGCGCGAUACAGGGUGACAGCCCCGUACACAAAAGCGCAUGUGCUGUGAGCUCGAUGAGUAGGGCGGGACACGUGGUAUCCUGUCUGAAUAUGGGGGGACCAUCCUCCAAGGCUAAAUACUCCUGACUGACCGAUAGUGAACCAGUACCGUGAGGGAAAGGCGAAAAGAACCCCGGCGAGGGGAGUGAAAAAGAACCUGAAACCGUGUACGUACAAGCAGUGGGAGCACA
rnacentral:rRNA from 1 species